AGAAACUUAGGUUAGCCCUAAACCAAAGGCUUUCAAAGCCCUAAACAGGAUAUUAUUCCCCUAGUUUCUG
rnacentral:tRNA from 1 species